rnacentral:rRNA from 1 species
GACAGAGGGUGCAAACGUUGUUCGGAAUUACUGGGCGUAAAGCGCGUGUAGGCGGCUGCGCAAGUCGGAUGUGAAAUCCCAUGGCUCAACCAUGGAAGUGCACCCGAAACUGCGUAGCUAGAGUCUCGGAGAGGAAGGUGGAAUGCUUGGUGUAGAGGUGAAAUUCGUAGAUAUCAAGCAGAACACCGGUGGCGAAGGCGGCCUCUGGACGAUGACUGACGCUGAGACGCGAAAGCGUGGGGAGCAAACAGG